rnacentral:rRNA from 1 species
ACGGGAGGCAGCAGUGGGGAAUAUUGGACAAUGGAGGCAACUCUGAUCCAGCGACGCCGCGUGAGUGAAGAAGUAUUUCGGUAUGUAAAGCUCUAUCAGCAGGGAAGAUAAUGACGGUACCUGACUAAGAAGCCCCGGCUAACUACGUGCCAGCAGCCGCGGUAAUACGUAGGGGGCAAGCGUUAUCCGGAUUUACUGGGUGUAAAGGGAGCGUAGGCGGCCAGACAAGUCAGAUGUGAAAGCCCGGGGCUCAACUCCGGUACUGCAUUUGAAACUGCCAGGCUUGAGUGCAGGAGAGGCAAGCGGAAUUCCUAGUGUAGCGGUGAAAUGCGUAGAUAUUGGGAGGAACACCGGAGGCGAAGGCGGCUCACUGGACGAUUACUGACGUUGAGGCUCGAAAGCGUGGGGAGCAAACAGGAUUAGAUACCCUGGUA